rnacentral:rRNA from 1 species
AACGAACGCUGGCGGCAUGCCUUACACAUGCAAGUCGAACGGUAACAGGUCUUCGGAUGCUGACGAGUGGCGAACGGGUGAGUAAUGCAUCGGAACGUGCCCAGUAGUGGGGGAUAGCCCGGCGAAAGCCGGAUUAAUACCGCAUACGACCUGAGGGUGAAAGGGGGGGAUCGCAAGACCUCUCGCUAUUGGAGCGGCCGAUGUCAGAUUAGCUAGUUGGUGGGGUAAAGGCCUACCAAGGCAACGAUCUGUAGUUGGUCUGAGAGGACGACCAGCCACACUGGGACUGAGACACGGCCCAGACUCCGCCGGGAGGGAGCAGUGGGGAAUUUUGGACAAUGGGCGCAAGCCUGAUCCAGCAAUGCCGCGUGCAGGAAGAAGGCCUUCGGGUUGUAAACUGCUUUUGUAAGGGAAGAAAUCUUCUGGGUUAAUACCUCGGGAGGAUGACGGUACCUGAAGAAUAAGCACCGGCUAACUACGUGCCAGCCGCCGCCGUAAUAC